GGUUAAGCGACUAAGCGUACACGGUGGAUGCCCUGGCAGUCAGAGGCGAUGAAGGACGUGCUAAUCUGCGAUAAGCGUCGGUAAGGUGAUAUGAACCGUUAUAACCGGCGAUUUCCGAAUGGGGAAACCCAGUGUGAUUCGUCACACUAUCAUUAACUGAAUCCAUAGGUUAAUGAGGCGAACCGGGGGAACUGAAACAUCUAAGUACCCCGAGGAAAAGAAAUCAACCGAGAUUCCCCCAGUAGCGGCGAGCGAACGGGGAGCAGCCCAGAGCCUGAAUCAGUGUGUGUGUUAGUGGAAGCGUCUGGAAAGGCGCGCGAUACAGGGUGACAGCCCCGUACACAAAAAUGCACAUACUGUGAGCUCGAUGAGUAGGGCGGGACACGUGGUAUCCUGUCUGAAUAUGGGGGGACCAUCCUCCAAGGCUAAAUACUCCUGACUGACCGAUAGUGAACCAGUACCGUGAGGGAAAGGCGAAAAGAACCCCGGCGAGGGGAGUGAAAAAGAACCUGAAACCGUGUACGUACAAGCAGUGGGAGCACGCUUAGGCGUGUGACUGCGUACCUUUUGUAUAAUGGGUCAGCGACUUAUAUUCUGUAGCAAGGUUAACCGAAUAGGGGAGCCGAAGGGAAACCGAGUCUUAACUGGGCGUUAAGUUGCAGGGUAUAGACCCGAAACCCGGUGAUCUAGCCAUGGGCAGGUUGAAGGUUGGGUAACACUAACUGGAGGACCGAACCGACUAAUGUUGAAAAAUUAGCGGAUGACUUGUGGCUGGGGGUGAAAGGCCAAUCAAACCGGGAGAUAGCUGGUUCUCCCCGAAAGCUAUUUAGGUAGCGCCUCGUGAAUUCAUCUCCGGGGGUAGAGCACUGUUUCGGCAAGGGGGUCAUCCCGACUUACCAACCCGAUGCAAACUGCGAAUACCGGAGAAUGUUAUCACGGGAGACACACGGCGGGUGCUAACGUCCGUCGUGAAGAGGGAAACAACCCAGACCGCCAGCUAAGGUCCCAAAGUCAUGGUUAAGUGGGAAACGAUGUGGGAAGGCCCAGACAGCCAGGAUGUUGGCUUAGAAGCAGCCAUCAUUUAAAGAAAGCGUAAUAGCUCACUGGUCGAGUCGGCCUGCGCGGAAGAUGUAACGGGGCUAAACCAUGCACCGAAGCUGCGGCAGCGACACUAUGUGUUGUUGGGUAGGGGAGCGUUCUGUAAGCCUGUGAAGGUGUGCUGUGAGGCAUGCUGGAGGUAUCAGAAGUGCGAAUGCUGACAUAAGUAACGAUAAAGCGGGUGAAAAGCCCGCUCGCCGGAAGACCAAGGGUUCCUGUCCAACGUUAAUCGGGGCAGGGUGAGUCGACCCCUAAGGCGAGGCCGAAAGGCGUAGUCGAUGGGAAACAGGUUAAUAUUCCUGUACUUGGUGUUACUGCGAAGGGGGGACGGAGAAGGCUAUGUUGGCCGGGCGACGGUUGUCCCGGUUUAAGCGUGUAGGCUGGUUUUCCAGGCAAAUCCGGAAAAUCAAGGCUGAGGCGUGAUGACGAGGCACUACGGUGCUGAAGCAACAAAUGCCCUGCUUCCAGGAAAAGCCUCUAAGCAUCAGGUAACAUCAAAUCGUACCCCAAACCGACACAGGUGGUCAGGUAGAGAAUACCAAGGCGCUUGAGAGAACUCGGGUGAAGGAACUAGGCAAAAUGGUGCCGUAACUUCGGGAGAAGGCACGCUGAUAUGUAGGUGAAGUCCCUUGCGGAUGGAGCUGAAAUCAGUCGAAGAUACCAGCUGGCUGCAACUGUUUAUUAAAAACACAGCACUGUGCAAACACGAAAGUGGACGUAUACGGUGUGACGCCUGCCCGGUGCCGGAAGGUUAAUUGAUGGGGUCAGCGCAAGCGAAGCUCUUGAUCGAAGCCCCGGUAAACGGCGGCCGUAACUAUAACGGUCCUAAGGUAGCGAAAUUCCUUGUCGGGUAAGUUCCGACCUGCACGAAUGGCGUAAUGAUGGCCAGGCUGUCUCCACCCGAGACUCAGUGAAAUUGAACUCGCUGUGAAGAUGCAGUGUACCCGCGGCAAGACGGAAAGACCCCGUGAACCUUUACUAUAGCUUGACACUGAACAUUGAGCCUUGAUGUGUAGGAUAGGUGGGAGGCUUGGAAGUGUGGACGCCAGUCUGCAUGGAGCCGACCUUGAAAUACCACCCUUUAAUGUUUGAUGUUCUAACGUUGACCCGUAAUCCGGGUUGCGGACAGUGUCUGGUGGGUAGUUUGACUGGGGCGGUCUCCUCCUAAAGAGUAACGGAGGAGCACGAAGGUUGGCUAAUCCUGGUCGGACAUCAGGAGGUUAGUGCAAUGGCAUAAGCCAGCUUGACUGCGAGCGUGACGGCGCGAGCAGGUGCGAAAGCAGGUCAUAGUGAUCCGGUGGUUCUGAAUGGAAGGGCCAUCGCUCAACGGAUAAAAGGUACUCCGGGGAUAACAGGCUGAUACCGCCCAAGAGUUCAUAUCGACGGCGGUGUUUGGCACCUCGAUGUCGGCUCAUCACAUCCUGGGGCUGAAGUAGGUCCCAAGGGUAUGGCUGUUCGCCAUUUAAAGUGGUACGCGAGCUGGGUUUAGAACGUCGUGAGACAGUUCGGUCCCUAUCUGCCGUGGGCGCUGGAGAACUGAGGGGGGCUGCUCCUAGUACGAGAGGACCGGAGUGGACGCAUCACUGGUGUUCGGGUUGUCAUGCCAAUGGCACUGCCCGGUAGCUAAAUGCGGAAGAGAUAAGUGCUGAAAGCAUCUAAGCACGAAACUUGCCCCGAGAUGAGUUCUCCCUGACUCCUUGAGAGUCCUGAAGGAACGUUGAAGACGACGACGUUGAUAGGCCGGGUGUGUAAGCGCAGCGAUGCGUUGAGCUAACCGGUACUAAUGAACCGUGAGGCUUAACCUU
rnacentral:rRNA from 1 species